AUGAGUUGUAACUCCCUCGGGAGCCAUCUCCACCCCUUGAAUACCAACUUUUGUUGCUUUGGUGGGCCGCGGCCCUGCCGCCAUCGGCCCCGGCUGAUGAGCGCCCGCCAGAGGCUUUAAACUCUUGAUUACAACGAGUCUGAGCAAUUGAAUAAAUGCGAA
rnacentral:misc_RNA from 1 species